rnacentral:rRNA from 1 species
UACGGAGGGUGCAAGCGUUAUCCGGAUUCACUGGGUUUAAAGGGUGCGUAGGUGGGUCUGUAAGUCAGUGGUGAAAUCUCCAAGCUUAACUUGGAACUGCCGUUGAUACUAUAGACCUUGAAUGCUGUGGAGGUGAGCGGAAUAUGUCAUGUAGCGGUGAAAUGACUUAGAUAUGACAUAGAACACCAAUUGCGAAGGCAGCUCACUACCCAGAUAUUGACACUGAGGCACGAAAGCGUGGGGAUCAAACAGG